GGGAACAGUUGGUGAAGGCUUUCAGUCUGAGGGGUUAUCUUGACUGUUUAUAUAAUUUCAUGAUGUCGCUGUUCCAUGGGAGUCAUUAAGGGGACAUGUACGUUUUGUGCAUUCUCUUCUAAUGGGCAAGGAAGAAUUGUACAGCAUUACAAGGAGCGUCACGGACGUUAUCGGAGAACCUAGAUGUACAGAAGAAAGGAUCAGCUCUACAGCUCCUGGACAAGUUGAUGACUGCAACAUUCUCACAGCGAAGGAAAUAAAUAAUUACUAAUGAACCCCACAUCUCUACUGUCUGCAAAAGAUGGCCUGCUUUGUUUUAGUUCAGCAGAAUUGUCAAUAAAGACCUGUUGGAAUCGUUCAUGGAUGGACUGGAUGCAUUGGUGCCAAGGAGGAGCAGGAGAAGCAGAGAGGAGAGACCCUGCUGUCUGGACUUGUAAAGCUCCAGAGAUUGCCUGAGGAAGUUACAGUUUUGGGCUUUAUGAGGAAGUUUUUGUCUCAGCCAUGGCAAUAAUGAGGACAAGGACUUUAAAGCGCAACAUCGCAGACUUUUGACCAUGGUGAAGUAAGUUAUAGGUUGGAUAUUCGUGCUCCACGGAUUCAGCGGGCUGUCCUCCUGUUUGAUCUGAUGUAAGCAAUUUAAUAACGGACAACUGUUCUCCUGCAGACGGUGGUUCUCUUAAGG